rnacentral:rRNA from 1 species
AGAGUUUGAUCCUGGCUCAGAUUGAACGCUGGCGGCGUGCCUAACACAUGCAAGUCGAGCGGUAACAGGUGUAGCAAUACAUGCUGACGAGCGGCGAACGGGUGAGUAAUGCUUUGGAAUCUUCCCAGUAGUGGGGAAUAACCAGUCGAAAGAUUGGCUAAUACCGCAUACGUCCGAAAGGGGAAAGCAGGGGAUCGUAAGACCUUGCGCUAUUGGAUGAGCCAAAGUCGGAUUAGCUAGUUGGUGAGGUAAUGGCUCACCAAGGCGACAAUCCGUAGCUGGUCUGAGAGGACGACCAGCCACACCGGAACUGAGACACGGUCCGGACUCCUACGGGAGGCAGCAGUGGGGAAUAUUGGACAAUGGGGGAAACCCUGAUCCAGCGACGCCGCGUGUGUGAAGAAGGCCUGCGGGUUGUAAAGCACUUUUAGUGGGGACAAAAAGCCAAAGGCUAACACCUUUUGGUCUUGAUUUAACUCACAGAAAAAGCACCGGCUAACUCUGUGCCAGCAGCCGCGGUAAUACAGAGGGUGCGAGCGUUAAUCGGAAUUACUGGGCGUAAAGCGCGCGUAGACGGUUUUGUAAGUCAGAUGUGAAAUCCCCGGGCUCAACCUGGGAACUGCAUUUGAUACUGCAUGGCUAGAGUACGGUAGAGGGAAGCGGAAUUUCCGGGUGUAGCGGUGAAAUGCGUAGAUAUCGGAAGGGAACACCAGUGGCGAAAGCGGCUUCCCUGGACCAGUACUGACGUUU